rnacentral:rRNA from 1 species
AAUGGGCGCAAGCCUGAUCCAGCAAUGCCGCGUGCAUGAAGAAGGCCUUCGGGUUGUAAACUGCUUUUGUCAGGGAAGAAAUCCUCUGGGUUAAUACCUCGGGGGGAUGACGGUACCUAAAGAAUAAGCACCGGCUAACUACAUG